CCCAGAGUCUGCUAGCGGCGCCGCAGGGAGCCGGUGGAGAACCCAAGAAGCCCGCCACUGCCUUCUGGGGCACUAAGACAACCCAGCUUGAGCAGGGAGAUGGCGGUUAACGAUUGCUUCAGUCUGACCUAUCCUCACAACCCCCACCCAGGAGACUUGAUUGAAGUGUUCCGUCCUUGUUAUCAGCACUGGGCACUGUACUUGGGUGAUGGCUACGUUAUCAACAUUGCACCUGUAGGCCAACCGAGCAAUCGGCACCAUCGGGUUGGUGGCAGCUGGUAUUGAUAUCUUCACAUUCCUUGGCUUGUUUCCCAAAAGACAAGGAGCAAAAUCUUAGCAGUUUAUUGAAGAGAUUGGAAUGAAGAAGUUUGUGAGGGGAGAGAGAUCUGGGGUGAAUACUUAUUUUGAAUGCUUCAUUAUUGCUCAUGGUCCCCAUGAUGGAUGGCAGACUCUGUAAUAAAUUGCUUGCUGAUUUUAAUCUU
rnacentral:lncRNA from 1 species